CUGUGAGCUCGAUGAGUAGGGCGGGACACGUGGUAUCCUGUCUGAAUAUGGGGGGACCAUCCUCCAAGGCUAAAUACUCCUGACUGACCGAUAGUGAACCAGUACCGUGAGGGAAAGGCGAAAAGAACCCCGGCGAGGGGAGUGAAAAAGAACCUGAAACCGUGUACGUACAAGCAGUGGGAGCACAGAGCAAUCUGUGUGACUGCGUACCUUUUGUAUAAUGGGUCAGCGACUUAUAUUCUGUAGCAAGGUUAACCGAAUAGGGGAGCCGAAGGGAAACCGAGUCUUAACUGGGCGUUAAGUUGCAGGGUAUAGACCCGAAACCCGGUGAUCUAGCCAUGGGCAGGUUGAAGGUUGGGUAACACUAACUGGAGGACCGAACCGACUAAUGUUGAAAAAUUAGCGGAUGACUUGUGGCUGGGGGGGAAAGGCCAAUCAAACCGGGAGAUAGCUGGUUCUCCCCGAAAGCUAUUUAGGUAGCGCCUCGUGAAUUCAUCUCCGGGGGUAGAGCACUGUUUCGGCAAGGGGGUCAUCCCGACUUACCAACCCGAUGCAAACUGCGAAUACCGGAGAAUGUUAUCACGGGAGACACACGGCGGGUGCUAACGUCCGUCGUGAAGAGGGAAACAACCCAGACCGCCAGCUAAGGUCCCAAAGUCAUGGUUAAGUGGGAAACGAUGUGGGAAGGCCCAGACAGCCAGGAUGUUGGCUUAGAAGCAGCCAUCAUUUAAAGAAAGCGUAAUAGCUCACUGGUCGAGUCGGCCUGCGCGGAAGAUGUAACGGGGCUAAACCAUGCACCGAAGCUGCGGCAGCGACGCUGAUGCGUUGUUGGGUAGGGGAGCGUUCUGUAAGCCUGUGAAGGUGUGCUGUGAGGCAUGCUGGAGGUAUCAGAAGUGCGAAUGCUGACAUAAGUAACGAUAAAGCGGGUGAAAAGCCCGCUCGCCGGAAGACCAAGGGUUCCUGUCCAACGUUAAUCGGGGCAGGGUGAGUCGACCCCUAAGGCGAGGCCGAAAGGCGUAGUCGAUGGGAAACAGGUUAAUAUUCCUGUACUUGGUGUUACUGCGAAGGGGGGACGGAGAAGGCUAUGUUGGCCGGGCGACGGUUGUCCCGGUUUAAGCGUGUAGGCUGGUUUUCCAGGCAAAUCCGGAAAAUCAAGGCUGAGGCGUGAUGACGAGGCACUACGGUGCUGAAGCAACAAAUGCCCUGCUUCCAGGAAAAGCCUCUAAGCAUCAGGUAACAUCAAAUCGUACCCCAAACCGACACAGGUGGUCAGGUAGAGAAUACCAAGGCGCUUGAGAGAACUCGGGUGAAGGAACUAGGCAAAAUGGUGCCGUAACUUCGGGAGAAGGCACGCUGAUAUGUAGGUGAAGUCCCUCGCGGAUGGAGCUGAAAUCAGUCGAAGAUACCAGCUGGCUGCAACUGUUUAUUAAAAACACAGCACUGUGCAAACACGAAAGUGGACGUAUACGGUGUGACGCCUGCCCGGUGCCGGAAGGUUAAUUGAUGGGGUUAGCGCAAGCGAAGCUCUUGAUCGAAGCCCCGGUAAACGGCGGCCGUAACUAUAACGGUCCUAAGGUAGCGAAAUUCCUUGUCGGGUAAGUUCCGACCUGCACGAAUGGCGUAAUGAUGGCCAGGCUGUCUCCACCCGAGACUCAGUGAAAUUGAACUCGCUGUGAAGAUGCAGUGUACCCGCGGCAAGACGGAAAGACCCCGUGAACCUUUACUAUAGCUUGACACUGAACAUUGAGCCUUGAUGUGUAGGAUAGGUGGGAGGCUUUGAAGUGUGGACGCCAGUCUGCAUGGAGCCGACCUUGAAAUACCACCCUUUAAUGUUUGAUGUUCUAACGUUGACCCGUAAUCCGGGUUGCGGACAGUGUCUGGUGGGUAGUUUGACUGGGGCGGUCUCCUCCUAAAGAGUAACGGAGGAGCACGAAGGUUGGCUAAUCCUGGUCGGACAUCAGGAGGUUAGUGCAAUGGCAUAAGCCAGCUUGACUGCGAGCGUGACGGCGCGAGCAGGUGCGAAAGCAGGUCAUAGUGAUCCGGUGGUUCUGAAUGGAAGGGCCAUCGCUCAACGGAUAAAAGGUACUCCGGGGAUAACAGGCUGAUACCGCCCAAGAGUUCAUAUCGACGGCGGUGUUUGGCACCUCGAUGUCGGCUCAUCACAUCCUGGGGCUGAAGUAGGUCCCAAGGGUAUGGCUGUUCGCCAUUUAAAGUGGUACGCGAGCUGGGUUUAGAACGUCGUGAGACAGUUCGGUCCCUAUCUGCCGUGGGCGCUGGAGAACUGAGGGGGGCUGCUCCUAGUACGAGAGGACCGGAGUGGACGCAUCACUGGUGUUCGGGUUGUCAUGCCAAUGGCACUGCCCGGUAGCUAAAUGCGGAAGAGAUAAGUGCUGAAAGCAUCUAAGCACGAAACUUGCCCCGAGAUGAGUUCUCCCUGACUCCUUGAGAGUCCUGAAGGAACGUUGAAGACGACGACGUUGAUAGGCCGGAUGUGUAAGCGCAGCGAUGCGUUGAGCUAACCGGUACUAAUGAACCGUGAGGCUUAACCUU
rnacentral:rRNA from 1 species